rnacentral:rRNA from 1 species
GCGGAGGAAAAGAAACCAACAGGGAUUGCCUCAGUAACGGCGAGUGAAGCGGCAAAAGCUCAAAUUUUAAAGCUGGCAUCUUCGGUGUCCGCGUUGUAAUUUUGUGAGGCAUCUCCGGGUAGGGCGCCGGCCUAAGUUCCUUGGAACAGGACGUCACAGAGGGUGAGAAUCCCGUGCUUGGCUGGCUGUCCCCGUCCAUGUGAGGUGUCUUCGACGAGUCGAGUUGUUUGGGAAUGCAGCUCAAAAUGGGUGGUAAAUUUCAUCUAAAGCUAAAUAUUGGUGGGAGACCGAUAGCGCACAAGUAGAGUGAUCGAAAGAUGAAAAGCACUUUGAAAAUAGAGUUAAAAAGUACGUGAAAUUGUUGAAAGGGAAGCGCUUGAGACCAGACUUCGGUAGGGAGUGAUCAGCCGUCCUUCUGGGCGGUGCACUUGCCCCCCUCCGGGCCAGCAUCGGUUGAGGCGGCGGGAUAAAUGUCCCGGGAAUGUGGCUCCUUCACGGGAGUGUUAUAGCCCGGGUGAAUGCCGCCAGUCUCGACCGAGGACCGCACCCGCAAGGGUUAGGAUGCUUGGCAUAAUGGUCUUCAGCGACCC